rnacentral:rRNA from 1 species
AUGAACGCUGGCGGCGUGCUUAACACAUGCAAGUCGAACGGAAAGGCCCAAGCUUGCUUGGGUACUCGAGUGGCGAACGGGUGAGUAACACGUGGGUGAUCUGCCCUGCACUUCGGGAUAAGCCUGGGAAACUGGGUCUAAUACUGGAUAGGACCACUUCUUGGAUGUUGUGGUGGAAAGUUUUUUCGGUGUGGGAUGAGCUCGCGGCCUAUCAGCUUGUUGGUGGGGUAAUGGCCUACCAAGGCGUCGACGGGUAGCCGGCCUGAGAGGGUGUACGGCCACAUUGGGACUGAGAUACGGCCCAGACUCCUACGGGAGGCAGCAGUGGGGAAUAUUGCACAAUGGGCGCAAGCCUGAUGCAGCGACGCCGCGUGGGGGAUGACGGCCUUCGGGUUGUAAACUCCUUUCGCUAGGGACGAAGCGUUUUGUGACGGUACCUGGAGAAGAAGCACCGGCUAACUACGUG